rnacentral:rRNA from 1 species
UACAGAGGGUGCGAGCGUUAAUCGGAAUUAUUGGGCGUAAAGCGUGCGUAGGUGGAUAUUUAAGUCGGAUGUGAAAUCCCUGGGCUUAACCUAGGAACUGCACCCGAUACUGGGUAUCUGGAGUAUAGUAGAGGAAAGUGGAAUUCCCGGUGUAGCGGUGAAAUGCGUAGAUAUCGGGAGGAACAUCAAUGGCGAAGGCGGCUUUCUGGACUAAUACUGACACUGAGGCACGAAAGCGUGGGGAGCAAACAGG